GUACCCAGAAGAGGGUCCAAGACCAAGUGGUGGGCAGGUAGCUUCCACUGCAGAUGUGAAAAUCCAUCAUUCCCACAGGUCUCUGGAGGUGAUGCCUGCCUCAUCUGCCAUGCCAGCACCUGUGUCCACCAUGGAGCUGAGGCAACCCUCACUCUCCAGCCAGGUGCAAUGGCCUUAUGGCCAAGCCUCCUUCCUGGGAUACUUUCUGGAGAGUCACGGUGCUCCUUGAGUUCGCUGAG